rnacentral:rRNA from 1 species
UACGUAGGGAGCGAGCGUUGUCCGGAUUUAUUGGGCGUAAAGGGCGUGUAGGCGGCUUGUUAAGUCUGGAGUGAAAAUCCGGGGCUCAACCCCCGGAACUGCUUCGGAUACUGGCGAGCUUGAGUGCUCUAGAGGGCAGUGGAAUUCCCGGUGUAGCAGUGAAAUGCGUAGAGAUCGGGAGGAACACCAGUGGCGAAGGCGACUGGCCUGGGGAGUAACUGACGCUGAGGUGCGAAAGCGUGGGGAGCAAACAGG